rnacentral:rRNA from 1 species
UACGGAGGGGGCUAGCGUUGUUCGGAAUUACUGGGCGUAAAGCGCACGUAGGCGGCUUUGUAAGUUAGAGGUGAAAGCCCGGGGCUCAACUCCGGAACUGCCUUUAAGACUGCAUCGCUUGAAUUGUGGAGAGGUAAGUGGAAUUCCGAGUGUAGAGGUGAAAUUCGUAGAUAUUCGGAAGAACACCAGUGGCGAAGGCGGCUCACUGGCCCGGUACUGACGCUGAGGCGCGAAAGCGUGGGGAGCAAACAGG